UACGGAAGGCAGCAGUGGGGAAUAUUGCACAAUGGGCGCAAGCCUGAUGCAGCCAUGCCGCGUGUAUGAAAAAGGCCUUCGGGUUGUAAAGUACUUUCAGUCGUGAGGAAGGUGUUAAGGUUAAUAACCUUAGCAAUUGACGUUAGCGACAGAAGAAGCACCGGCUAACUCCGUGCCAGCAGCCGCGGUAAUACGGAGGGUGCGAGCGUUAAUCGGAAUUACUGGGCGUAAAGGGCACGCAGGCGGUUAAUUAAGUUGGAUGUGAAAUCCCCGGGCUUAACCUGGGAAUGGCAUUCAAGACUGGUUAGCUAGAGUCUUGUAGAGGGGGUAGAAUUCCAUGUGUAGCGGUGAAAUGCGUAGAGAUGUGGAGGAAUACCGGUGGCGAAGGCGGCCCCUGGGACAAAGACUGACGCUCAUGUGCGAAAGCGUGGGGAGCAAAC
rnacentral:rRNA from 1 species